UACGGAGGGUGCAAGCGUUAAUCGGAAUUACUGGGCGUAAAGGGUGCGUAGGUGGUUUAAUAAGUUAUCUGUGAAAUCCCUGGGCUUAACCUAGGCAGGUCAGAUAAGACUGUUAGACUAGAGUAUGGUAGAGGGUAGUGGAAUUUCCGGUGUAGCGGUGAAAUGCGUAGAGAUCGGAAGGAACACCAGUGGCGAAGGCGGCUACCUGGACCAAUACUGACACUGAGGCACGAAAGCGUGGGGAGCAAACAGG
rnacentral:rRNA from 1 species